GCUGGGUGUGGUGGUGCAUGCCUGUAAUCCCAGCUACUCGGGAGGCUGAGGCAGGAGAAUUGCUUGAGCCCAGGAGGCGGAGGUUGCAGUGAGCCAAGAUCGUGCCACUGUACUCCAGCCUGGGCGACAGAGCAAGACUCCAUCUCAA
rnacentral:sRNA from 1 species